rnacentral:rRNA from 1 species
GUGACCUCAAAUCAGGUAGGAUUACCCGCUGAACUUAAGCAUAUCAAUAAGCGGAGGAAAAGAAACUAACAAGGAUUCCCCUAGUAACUGCGAGUGAAGCGGGAAAAGCUCAAAUUUAAAAUCUGGCAGUCUUCGGCUGUCCGAGUUGUAAUCUAGAGAAGUGCUAUCCGCGCUGGACCGUGUACAAGUCUCCUGGAAUGGAGCGUCAUAGAGGGUGAGAAUCCCGUCUUUGACACGGACUGCCAGGGCUUUGUGAUGUGCUCUCGAAGAGUCGAGUUGUUUGGGAAUGCAGCUCAAAAUGGGUGGUAAAUUCCAUCUAAAGCUAAAUAUUGGCGAGAGACCGAUAGCGAACAAGUACCGUGAGGGAAAGAUGAAAAGAACUUUGGAAAGAGAGUUAAACAGUACGUGAAAUUGCUGAAAGGGAAACGCUUGAAGUCAGUCGCGUUGUCCAGGGAUCAACCUUGCUUUUGCUUGGUGCACUUUCUGGUUGACGGGUCAGCAUCAAUUUUGACCAUUGGAAAAAGAUUAGGGGAAUGUGGCAUCUUAGGAUGUGUUAUAGCCCUUGGUUGCAUACAAUGGUUGGGAUUGAGGAACUCAGCACGCCGCAAGGCCGGGUUUUUAACCACGUACGUGCUAGGAUGCUGCAUA